CCGGCUGCCCUCUCCGCGCCGGCGUCCCGAGCCGCGCGGCCCCCUGUCCCUCGGGACUCCAGGAGCAGGGCGGCCGCAUGGUGCCGACGGCGCAGCCCGGACCCUCAAGCGUCCCGGCCCGGGGCCGCCCCGAAGGGACAGGGUCUCCCGCGCCCGGCGGCCGGCGGCGUUUGGCCCAGCGUGGGAGCCGUAGCGCCGUCCCUCUGCGGCCACCGUAGGACUUUCCUCACACACACACCCCCCCACCCACCCUCCGCCCGCGCCGAAACGGACAGCGCCUCCCUUCCCCCUUUUCGGCGUAGACCCGGAGCGCCCGGAACUCGGCGCUUGCCCUCCGAGCGUAAGUGCGUGCGUGCGUGCGUACGCGCCCGGCGCGCGGCCCGUGACGUACCCCCGGACAACACCGCCCCAGAAGCUCAAAGAUCGGUUGAUGGAUCGGCCUCUCCCACUGGCUCAGUUUCCUUACCACAGGCCGCACGACAGGCUGGAAGCCACCAUAUCUGCAGCCUGACCACCGCCAGUUCCAGAGCCACAAGGACGAAGAUGAGGCUGUGUCCUCGGGGCCAGCUCAGUGGCAGGGCAGGGGGAGACCCCAGGCGUGUGCUGCGAUUUUUUGCAGGCUGCCCCUGGCAGGGGUGGGGGGGGCCGUCCAGCGGGGGCUCCCUCAUGUUGCCAUCCUCGCAGGCACCCCUCUCUCCCUGCUCCCCCGCCCCCACGUCAGGAGGACAUCUGUGAUGUGGGCGGUGGCUGGGCGCCACCUGCUGGAACAGUGCACGAGGUGUCCCAGAGCCAAGCCUGAGACGAGUGAAGGGUCCAAGAAGGGCCUGAGUCCAUCGGUGCUUUGAGCCGUAAACCAGGGCACCACGGGUCCCAGUUGUCUGUGGAGCUGAGUAGCCUCUGCUGCAGAGGCCCAUUAGCCCGCAAACCCUCUACUCUCUGCCUUUGCAAAAACCUAGUUCGCCCCUGCUUUAAACAAGCAUUUAUCACACGGCUCACAGAGAAUGGUAAACGGGCAGACCGUCAGGUUGGGACGGUCUUAGCCACCCCCACCCUCCACUGUCCCUGUGCUUGCUGGGGAGCAAGGAUCCGGUCACUUCAGGGGCCAGACAUGGAGUGACUCUUUGCCACCCAGGACAGUAGAGGCUGAGUGACUCCUGACAUCAGGCUGCCCUGCAGGUUUGGGUGUGGGGAGGGACUGACCUCUCUGCAGUCAUGUUCCAACUGUCCAGUCCUCAGGCAGGGCUGGUGUGACCUCCCACCCUGUGACGGUGGGUUUAAUCCUCACGAGGGUCUCAACAGCGUAGUCAGGCGUGUUAGCCUUCAGCGACUGCUUAGUCCUUGUGAGCGGUCCUACAGUCACCUCGCCAUCAAGAGACGGACUUACAUGUGACCCAGCAAUGCCACUCCUGGGCAUAUGGGCAGAGAAAACUCUUAAUUCAAAAAGAUACCUGCAUGCCAGUGUUCAUAGCAGCCCUACUCACAGUAGCUGAGACAUGGAAACAACUAAACGCCCAUCGACAGAGGAAUGGAUACAGAAAACGUGGUGUAUAUAUACUCGGCCACAAAAAAGAACGACAUGCCAUUUGCAGCAACGUGGAUGGACCUAGAGAUGAUCACACUGAAGGUCAGACAGAGAAAGACAAGUACCAGAAGAUGUGGACGCUGAAAUACGGCACAAGCGAACCUGUCUGUGAAACAGGAGCGGACUCAGCCGCACAGGGAACAGGCUGGCGGUUGCCAAGGGGGAGGGUGUUGGGAGACGGCCGGAGCGGGGCUUGGGGCCAGCAGAUGGACGCUCCAAUAGAGAGUGGCUAGACAGCAAGGUCCUCCUGUACAGGACGGAGAACUGUAGUCAGUAUCCGAUGAUGAAUCAUCAUGGAAGAGAGUAUUUUAAAAAAGAAUAUUAAAAGAAAAGAAUGUGUGAAAAUGAUUUUGUGCUCAAGGGAGUAAAACUAAAAACCAC
ensembl:lncRNA